CGCCUUGCACCCCCUGCCCCCGACCCCUAUAUUGAACCCGUCGGGGGCAACCCCGACUAUGGCGAUAAACGCACCUGUAAUAAUCGGCUCGGACCCGGGGGCGGUACCCGGCGGCUCCACCAGACUUUCCCUUCGUUGGGGCGUGUGGGGCCGAAAUAGGAUCGACGAACGACCAAAGAGGCCAGCUUUCGCUCGGUGAGGUACCACCGUUAUCGGUCCAUGAUCACAGUUGCCAACGACAACCGUGCUCCGGUGGCGCUGGCCGCGUAAGCGGCUCGCAAGACCAA
rnacentral:tmRNA from 1 species